AAAGUUCCAUAACAGGCGCCAAUGGGCGAUAAUCCAAAAUGAAGGUUGAACAGGCGAAGUCGUCAAGGAGUCCGUCCUGAUAAUGAGCUGUAAAGCCACGGAAUUACACUGAAAGAGAACGUGACAUAGGUUAGGAACCGAUCUGGAGACUAAUUGAAUUAAAGGUAACAGCCCAUGAUUAGUUACAGUAAUAACAUAUAACUGAAAAUAACGAUAA